UGCAGAGGUCGGGUUCGAACCACGACCUUCGUGUAUGUAAAUUCGCGCCCUAACCACUGAGCCAUCUCGC
rnacentral:tRNA from 11 species